rnacentral:rRNA from 1 species
UGGGGAAUCUUGGACAAUGGGCGCAAGCCUGAUCCAGCCAUGCCGCGUGGAUGAUGAAGGCCUUAGGGUUGUAAAAUCCUUUCGCCGAGGACGAUAAUGACGGUACUCGGAGAAGAAGCUCCGGCUAACUUCGUGCCAGCAGCCGCGGUAAUACGAAGGGGGCUAGCGUUGUUCGGAUUUACUGGGCGUAAAGCGCGUGUAGGCGGGUCGUUAAGUUGGGGGUGAAAUCCCGAGGCUCAACCUCGGAACUGCCUUCAAAACUGGCGACCUGGACCCAAGUAGAGGCAAGUGGAAUUGCGAGUGUAGAGGUGAAAUUCGUAGAUAUUCGCAGGAACACCAGUGGCGAAGGCGACUUGCUGGACUUGUGGUGACGCUGAGACGCGAAAGCGUGGGGAGCAAACAGGAUUAGAUACCCCUGUAGUCCCUGAGCGGGCUGGCAAGGCGCAU